rnacentral:rRNA from 1 species
AUUGAACGCUGGCGGCAGGCCUAACACAUGCAAGUCGAGCGGAGCGGCGGACGGGUGAGUAUUGCCUAGGAAUCUGCCUGGUAGUGGGGGAUAACGUCCGGAAACGGGCGCUAAUACCGCAUACUAUCAGAUGAGCCUAUGUCGGAUUAGGUCGUUGGUGGGGUAAAGUACUACCAAGGCGCCGAUCCGUCGCUGUUCUGAGAGGAUGAUCAGUCACACGGGAAAUGGUACACGGUCCAGACUCCUACGGGAGGCAACAGUGGGGAAUAUUGGACAGUGGGCGGAAGCCUAAUCCAGCCAUGCCGCGUGUGUGGAGAGGGUCUUCGGAUUGUAAAGCACUUGAAGUUGGGAGGCGUUACCAACAGAAUAAGCACCGGCUAACUCCGUGCCAGCAGCCGCGGUAAUUC